GACGGACGCUGGCGGCGUGCUUAACACAUGCAAGUCGAACGGAAAGGCCCCAGCUUGCUGGGGUACUCGAGUGGCGAACGGGUGAGUAACACGUGGGUGAUCUGCCCUGCACUCUGGGAUAAGCCUGGGAAACUGGGUCUAAUACCGGAUAGGACCGUGCUUUAGUGUGUGCGGUGGAAAGUUUUUCGGUGCAGGAUGAGCCCGCGGCCUAUCAGCUUGUUGGUGGGGUAAUGGCCUACCAAGGCGGCGACGGGUAGCCGGCCUGAGAGGGUGUACGGCCACAUUGGGACUGAGACACGGCCCAGACUCCUACGGGAGGCAGCAGUGGGGAAUAUUGCACAAUGGGCGCAAGCCUGAUGCAGCGACGCCGCGUGGGGGAUGACGGCCUUCGGGUUGUAAACCCCUUUCGGCAGGGACGAAGCUUUUGUGACGGUACCUGCAGAAGAAGCACCGGCUAACUACGUG
rnacentral:rRNA from 1 species